rnacentral:lncRNA from 1 species
CCAUAUCAGAAAGGCCUUCACUGAUGACUUAAUAUUACAAAAAAAAACCCAACUUUGUAGCUUAAAGCCACAGAAAUGUAUUCGCUCACAGUUCUAGAGGGCAAAGCAUUUGAAAUCAAAGUGUUGGCAGGGCCACGUUCCCUCCAAGGGCCCUAAGGAAGAAUCCACUCUCUGCCUUUUGCAGCUUCUGGCGACUCCUGGUGUUGCUUGGCUUGUGGAAGCCCUUCUCUCCUCUCAUUUCAAAUUCUUGGCAUUUUAUGCAAUAAAUAUCUUUAAGCACCUAUAGCAUAUCAGACCAUUAUUUUA